GACAUACUCCCUCCGUCCGAAAAUACUUGUCAUCAAAAUGGAUAAAAAGAGAUGUAUCUAGAACUAAAAUACGUCUACAUACAUCCUCUUUUAUCCAUUUUGAUGACAAGUAUUUCCGGACGGAGAGAGUAUGAG
rnacentral:pre_miRNA from 1 species